rnacentral:rRNA from 1 species
CUACGGGUCGCAGCAGUGGGGAAUCUUAGACAAUGGGCGCAAGCCUGAUCUAGCCAUGCCGCGUGAGUGACGAAGGCCUUAGGGUCGUAAAGCUCUUUCGCUAGGGAAGAUAAUGACUGUACCUAGUAAAGAAACCCCGGCUAACUCCGUGCCAGCAGCCGCGGUAAUACGGAGGGGGUUAGCGUUGUUCGGAAUUACUGGGCGUAAAGCGCGCGUAGGCGGAUCAGAAAGUUGGGGGUGAAAUCCCAGGGCUCAACCCUGGAACUGCCUCCAAAACUCCUGGUCUUGAGUUCGAGAGAGGUGAGUGGAAUUCCGAGUGUAGAGGUGAAAUUCGUAGAUAUUCGGAGGAACACCAGUGGCGAAGGCGGCUCACUGGCUCGAUACUGACGCUGAGGUGCGAAAGCGUGGGGAGCAAACAGGAUUAGAUACCCUUGUAGUC